rnacentral:rRNA from 1 species
CCCCUAGAUGUUCUGGGCCGCACGCGCGCUACACUGAACAGUUCAACAAGUCUUAACCUUGGCCGAUAGGUCUGGGUAAUCUUUGAACGCUGUUCGUGAUUGGGAUAGACCUUUGCAAUUAUGGGUCUUCAACGAGGAAUUCCUAGUAAACGCAAGUCAUCAGCUUGCAUUGAUUACGUCCCUGCCCUUUGUACACACCGCCCGUCGCACCUACCGAUUGAAUGGUCCGGUGAAUUAUUCGGACUGCAACGCGCCCAGUUCCUGGAUGCAGUUGCGGUAAGUUUUGUGAACCUUACCACUUAGAGGAAGGAGAAGUCGUAACA